rnacentral:rRNA from 1 species
UACAGAGGUCUCAAGCGUUUGUUCGGAUUCAUUGGGCGUAAAGGGUGCGUAGGCGGCGCGGUAAGUCGGGUGUGAAAUCUUGGAGCUUAACUCCGAAACUGCAUUCGAUACUGCCGUGCUUGAGGACUGGAGAGGAGACGUGGAAUUUACGGUGUAGCGGUGAAAUGCGUAGAUAUCUGGAGGAACACCGGUGGCGAAGGCGGCAUCCUGGACCAACACUGACGCUGAGUGAGCGAAAGCCAGGGGAGCAAAGCGGG